GCCAGACUCCUACGGGAGGCAGCAGUGGGGAAUAUUGCACAAUGGGGGAAACCCUGAUGCAGCGACGCCGCGUGAGUGAAGAAGUAUUUCGGUAUGUAAAGCUCUAUCAGCAGGAACGAGACAAGACGGUACCUGACUAAGAAGCCCCGACUAACUACGUGCCAGCAGCCGCGGUAAUACGUAGGGGGCAAGCGUUAUCCGGAUUUACUGGGUGUAAAGGGAGCGUAGACGGCCAUGCAAGUCUGAUGUGAAAACCCGGGGCUCAACCCCGGAACUGCUUUGGAAACUGUGCAGCUAGAGUGCAGGAGAGGUAAGUGGAAUUCCUAGUGUAGCGGUGAAAUGCGUAGAUAUUAGGAGGAACACCAGUGGCGAAGGCGGCUUACUGGACUGUAACUGACGUUGAGGCUCGAAAGCGUGGGGAGCAAACAGGAUUAGAUACCCUUGUA
rnacentral:rRNA from 1 species